UGGGGAAUAUUGCACAAUGGGCGCAAGCCUGAUGCAGCCAUGCCGCGUGUGUGAAGAAGGCCUUCGGGUUGUAAAGCACUUUCAGCGGGGAGGAAGGCGAUAAGGUUAAUAACCUUGUCGAUUGACGUUACCCGCAGAAGAAGCACCGGCUAACUCCGUGCCAGCAGCCGCGGUAAUACGGAGGGUGCAAGCGUUAAUCGGAAUUACUGGGCGUAAAGCGCACGCAGGCGGUCUGUCAAGUCGGAUGUGAAAUCCCCGGGCUCAACCUGGGAACUGCAUUCGAAACUGGCAGGCUAGAGUCUUGUAGAGUGGGGUAGAAUUCCAGGUGUAGCGGUGAAAUGCGUAGAGAUCUGGAGGAAUACCGGUGGCGAAGGCGGCCCCCUUGACAAAGACUGACGCUCAGGUGCGAAAGCGUGGGGAGCAAACAGG
rnacentral:rRNA from 1 species